GACGAACGCUGGCGGCGUGCUUAACACAUGCAAGUCGAACGGUAAGGCCCUUCGGGGUACACGAGUGGCGAACGGGUGAGUAACACGUGGGUGAUCUGCCCUGCACUUCGGGAUAAGCCUGGGAAACUGGGUCUAAUACCGGAUAGGACCACUGCCUGCAUCCUUGGAGGUGGAAAGUUUUUAAGGGAGGGAUGGUCCCGCGGCCGAUCUGCUUGUUGGUGAGGUAGUGGCUCACCAAGGCGACGACGGGAAGCCGGCCUGAGAGGGCGACCGGCCACACUGGGACUGAGACACGGCCCAGACUCCUACGGGAGGCAGCAGUGGGGAAUAUUGCGCAAUGGGCGAAAGCCUGACGCAGCAACGCCGCGUGCGGGAUGACGGCCUUCGGGUUGUAAACCGCUUUCAGCAGGGAAGAAGCCGCAAGGUGACGGUACCUGCAGAAGAAGCACCGGCUAACUACGUGCCAGCAGCCGCGGUAA
rnacentral:rRNA from 1 species